rnacentral:rRNA from 1 species
CCUACGGGAGGCAGCAGUGAGGAAUAUUGGUCAAUGGACGAGAGUCUGAACCAGCCAAGUAGCGUGAAGGAUGAAUGCCCUAUGGGUUGUAAACUUCUUUUAUAUGGGAAUAAAAUGUUCCACGUGUGGGAUUUUGUAUGUACCAUAUGAAUAAGGAUCGGCUAACUCCGUGCCAGCAGCCGCGGUAAUACGGAGGAUGCGAGCGUUAUCCGGAUUUAUUGGGUUUAAAGGGAGCGUAGGUGGAUUGUUAAGUCAGUUGGGAAAGUUUGCGGCUCAACCGUAAAAUUGCAGUUGAAACUGGCAGUCUUGAGUACAGUAGAGGUGGGCGGAAUGCGUGGUGUAGCGGUGAAAUGCUUAGAUAUCACGAAGAACUCCGAUUGCGAAGGCAGCUCACUGGACUGCAACUGACACUGAGGCACGAAAGUGUGGGUAUCAAACAGGAUUAGAUACCCGGGUAGUC